GAUGAACGCUGACAGAAUGCUUAACACAUGCAAGUCAACUUGAAUUUGGGUUUUUUAACUUAGAUUUGGGUGGCGGACGGGUGAGUAACGCGUAAAGAACUUGCCUCACAGCUAGGGACAACAUUUGGAAACGAAUGCUAAUACCUGAUAUUAUGAUUAUAAGGCAUCUUAGAAUUAUGAAAGCUAUAUGCGCUGUGAGAGAGCUUUGCGUCCCAUUAGCUAGUUGGAGAGGUAACGGCUCACCAAGGCGAUGAUGGGUAGCCGGCCUGAGAGGGUGAACGGCCACAAGGGGACUGAGAGACGCACCUUACUCCUACGGGAGGCAGCAGUGGGGAAUAUUGGACAAGGGGACAAGAGUCUGAUCCAGCAAUUCUGUGUGCACGAUGACGUUUUUCGGAAUGUAAAGUGCUUUCAGUUGGGAAGAAAAAAAUGACGGUACCAACAGAAGAAGUGACGGCUAAAUACGU
rnacentral:rRNA from 1 species